rnacentral:rRNA from 1 species
UAAUUUUUAAUCUUACUUAAUUUAUGUUUUUAAAUUUACAGAAAUAACUUUGUAUAUAGUAUUUUAAAGAAAAAUUUUAUUUAGUGAUAGUUUAUUAGUACCGUGAGGGAAUAAUGGUGAAAUAUUUUGAAAAUAAUAAUUUAAAUAAGUAGAUUUAAUUUAUUGUACCUUUUGUAUCAGGGUUAAUCAAAUAUUAUUAAUUUAAUAAUUAAAUUCUCGAUUUCAGAAGAGCUAAUAUAAUAAUUUAGUUAAUGUAUCAUAAUUAUUAAUAAUAUUAAUUAGUGAAGAUAUUUCAUUCGUUUUUAAAGGUAUCUAGUUUUUUAAGAAAUAAAUUUAAUUUAAUUUUGUAAUUUAUUAUAUUUAUUUAAUAAUAUACUAUUUUAUAAAUUGAAUAUUUUAGGGGAUAAGCUCUAAAUUAAUACUAUAAAUUUGAAUUAUAUUUAAUUUAUGUAGGGUUGAAAUCAUCUAUCAUUUAUGAGUACGUUAUAGUUUAUGUUAAUUAGAAUUGAUUUAUUUUUGUUUUUAGUAUUAUAUUAAAAUAUUAUAUUUAAUUAUUUAAUAUAAGUAAUAAUGAUUGAAUUAGUAUAUGUUAUAUGUUAAUAAUUAUAUAAGUGGGAAUAAUAUAAUAAGGAACUCGGCAAAUAUAACACUCGCCUGUUUAACAAAAACAUGUCUUCUUGUUUUGUUUAAGAAGUCUGACCUGCCCAGUGAAUUAUUUUAACGGCCGCGGUAUAUUGACCGUGCAAAGGUAGCAUAAUCAUUAGUCUUUUAAUAGGGGGCUGGAAUGAAGGGUUUGACGAGGUGUUUACUGUCUCAUUUUAUUUGAUCUUAAAAUUUAACUUUACAGUCAAAAGGCUGUAAUAAUAUUGGAAGACGAGAAGACCCUAUAGAGCUUUAUAUUUAAUUAUUUAUUAUAUUAUUGUUAAUUAAAUUAUAUUACUUAAUUAAAUAUUUUGUUGGGGUGACAAAAAUAUAUAAUGAACUUUUUUAUUUAUUAAACGUUGAUAAAUGAUUAGGAGAUCCAAUCUUAUUGAUUGUUAGAACAAGUUACCUUAGGGAUAACAGCGUAAUCUUUCUUCAGAGUUCAUAUUUACAGAAAGGCUUGCGACCUC